UCCAAAAAGGUUCCUUAAUUCAACAUCGAGGUCGCAAACUUCUUUUUCGAUAAGGGCUCUAAAAGAAAUAACGCUGUUAUCCCUAAAGUAAUUUUAAUUUUUAAUCUUUAGAGGGUCAAUUUAUUCAUUUAUAUAUGUUAUAUAAAUCUAUAGGUAUUUUUAUAUAGAAGUCGCCCCAGCUAAAUUAUUUACAAUAUAAUCUAUUCUUAUAAAAAUAAUUAAAUUUUAUAGGGUCUUAUCGUCUUUUAAAAUUAUUAUAGGGUUUUUACUAUAAACUAAGUUUAAGUUAAAAAGAAAGACAGUACUCAUUCAUGUGACCUUUUAUACAAGUUUUCAAUUAAAAAACAAAUUAUUAUGCUACC
rnacentral:rRNA from 1 species